UACGUAGGGUGCAAGCGUUAAUCGGAAUUACUGGGCGUAAAGCGUGCGCAGGCGGUUGUGCAAGACAGAUGUGAAAUCCCCGGGCUCAACCUGGGAACUGCAUUUGUGACUGCACGGCUAGAGUGUGUCAGAGGGGGGUAGAAUUCCACGUGUAGCAGUGAAAUGCGUAGAUAUGUGGAGGAAUCCCGAUGGCGAAGGCAGCCCCCUGGGAUGACACUGACGCUCAUGCACGAAAGCGUGGGGAGCAAACAGG
rnacentral:rRNA from 1 species